GGCAGGUCACGUGACCUGCCAGUGGCUGGUGGCAGCUGCCAGUCUGAUUUUGGGCGGGCUGACUGGCAGCUGCCAGCUGGCAGUAUGCCUCAACAAGUUUCAGCGACAAUAGAUUUUCGGCAGAUUUUGUGUUUUGUGCUUAAUUUCUUAUUGUGAACCUGUUCAGUUCUUUAUUUUUAGCGCGAUUAAAGUGUUUAAAUGGCGGUGAUUCCGACUGGUAGGUUAAUGCCGCUUCCACUGGCAGUUCAGUCAGUCAGCCGCGAGAGCGCUCCGAGGUUAACGCGUUUUCUGCCACUUGUGCUACAAGGAAAUAUAUUAUUUCAUGAUCAUAAAUGUUUUCUUAUAGGUCUAGUCUUUUAAUUUAUCCACUUUUUAUGGCGUUUUAUUAUGAAUAAAGUGUUUAAAUGGCCGUGGUUUCAACUGGCAGCUUAUUGUCGCUUCCACUUCCAGUUCAGUCAGUCAGCCGCGAGAGCGCUCCGAGGUUAACGCGUUCUCUGCCACUCUUGCUACAAGGAAGUAUACUAUUUUAUGAUCGUUAAUAUAUUCUUAUAGGUCUAGUCUUUUAAUUUAUCAACAGUUCAUGGAGUUUUAUUAUGAAUAAAGUGUUUAAAUGGCCGUGAUUUCAACUGGCAGCUUAUUGUCGCUUCCACUGGCAGUUCAGUCAGUCAGACAGCCGCGAGAGCGCUCCGAGGUUAACGCGUUCUCUGCCACUCUUGCUACAAGGAAAUAUAUUAUUUCAUGAUCAUUAAUAUCUUCUUAUAGGUCUAGUCUCUUAAUUUAUCCACAUUUUAUGGAGUUUUAUUAUGAAUAAAAUGUUUAAAUGGCCGUGAUUUCAACUGGCAGCUUAUUGUCGCUUCCAUUGGCAGCUCAGUCAGACAGCCGCGAGAGCGCUCCGAGGUAACGCGUUUUCUACCACUCGUGCUACAAGGAAAUAUAUUAUUUCAUGAUCAUAAAUAUUUUCUUAUAGGUCUAGUCUUUUAAUUUAUCCACAUUUUAUGAAGUUUUAUUAUGAAUAAAGUAUUUAAAUGGCCGUGGUUUCAACUGGCAGCUUACUGUCGCUUCCACUACUAGUUCAG